UUGGAGCCCCUAUAAUAGGUUUUCAAAAUGAAAAUAUAUUGAGAAAAAUUUAGCAGAUGCAACCAUAAAUUACAGUGAUAGUCGCAUGUGAGCAUCUAAUCCUAUCGCUCUUCUGGAAUUAUAUUAGAAUUAUUUAUGAUCCAUAUAUCAUGUAUUUAAAUCAUGAGUCAAAAAAAAAAAAAAGUGAAUACCGAGAGAUUUUUGGUGAAAAUCUGGCAACGAAUAAAACUCAAAUCCUGACUUGAUUUUGGUCGAUCCAACCAUCUUUACACCGCUAAUCUCACAUGAACAACUUCAAUUUUGGGUGGAAUUAGCAAAGAGCUAGCUUCGAUUACGAGGGAUGAAUAGGGAUUUAGGUCGGCAACACCCUAAUACCUAAUUUCAUCAAAUCUGAUCAGGACCUUCAUUCUUUCUUCUCUCUUUCCUCAAUCGGUGAUUAAUCUUAAUUGAGUGAUGUAAAUCCCUAUUGAGGAAUCUAUUCCUUUCCUUGAAACACCAGGAAAUCACACAGGUUACACCACAAGUUCGGAAUGCGCAGAAGCCUUGGCUGUACAGAGUGCUGUGGAAUGGGCGAAAGAUAUUCAACUAGAGGACGUUCAUAUAACAACUGACUGUAAGAAUGUGUUGAAUUUUUUGGAAAACAAACCUUCUUCUUGUGGCUGGAGGGCUAUCUCUAUAUUGAAGGAUGUAACCAAAUUUUGUAAUCUCUCUUAUUAAAAAAAAGUAACAUUCUCUCUCCAAAUGUGAUUCAUUUACACGAUGGCUGAUACAAUAAAAGUAAAAACAUACAUUUGACAGCUUGAAAAUAGAAAUAGUUCAUGUCUUGCUAUA